rnacentral:rRNA from 1 species
CCUACGGGAGGCAGCAGUGAGGAAUAUUGGACAAUGGGCGCAAGCCUGAUCCAGCCAUGCCGCGUGCAGGAAGACGGUCCUAUGGAUUGUAAACUGCUUUUGUACAGGAAGAAACACUCCCUCGUGAGGGAGCUUGGCGGUACUGUAAGAAUAAGGAUCGGCUAACUCCGUGCCAGCAGCCGCGGUAAUACGGAGGAUCCAAGCGUUAUCCGGAAUCAUUGGGUUUAAAGGGUCCGUAGGCGGUUUAAUAAGUCAGUGGUGAAAUCUGGUCGCUCAACGAUCAAACGGCCAUUGAUACUGUUAGACUUGAAUUAUUAGGAAGUAACUAGAAUAUGUAGUGUAGCGGUGAAAUGCUUAGAUAUUACAUGGAAUACCAAUUGCGAAGGCAGGUUACUACUAAUGGAUUGACGCUGAUGGACGAAAGCGUGGGGAGCGAACAGGAUUAGAUACCCUGGUAGUCCACGCCGUAAACGAUGGAUACUAGCUGUUGGGCGCAAGUUCAGUGGCUAAGCGAAAGUGAUAAGUAUCCCACCUGGGGAGUACGUUCGCAAGAAUGAAACUCAAAUGAAAUUGACGGCUGAGACGAGCGAGGACGACACGAGGGAGGAGG